AAGUCGUAACAAGGUUUCCGUAGGUGAACCUGCGGAAGGAUCAUUAUCGAGUUUUUGAACAGGUUGUAGCUGGCCUCUUCACCGAGGUAAUCGUGCACGCCUGGCUCAUUCCACUCUUCAACCUCUGUGCACCUUGUGUAGGAGAUGACCGAGGGGGCCUUCGAAAGUUGGUCUUCAGAGUCUCACCUACGUUUUUUUAUUAAUAUAAACGCUUCAGUCAAUGAAUGUAAUCUCUGCGAAUAAAAAAAACGCAUCUAUAUACAACUUUCAGCAACGGAUCUCUUGGCUCUC
rnacentral:misc_RNA from 1 species